rnacentral:rRNA from 1 species
UACGUAGGGUGCGAGCGUUAAUCGGAUUUACUGGGCGUAAAGCGUGCGCAGGCGGUUUGUUAAGCGAGAUGUGAAAGCCCCGGGCUCAACCUGGGAACCGCAUUUCGAACUGGCAAACUAGAGUCUUGUAGAGGGGGGUAGAAUUCCAGGUGUAGCGGUGAAAUGCGUAGAUAUCGGGAGGAACACCAGUAGCGAAGGCGGCCAUCUGGCUGAUAACUGACGCUGAGGUGCGAGAGCGUGGGGAGCAAACAGG